rnacentral:rRNA from 1 species
AGAGCGAACGCUGGCGGCAGGCCUAACACAUGCAAGUCGAAUGGACCCUUCGGGGUUAGUGGCGGACGGGUGAGUAACACGUGGGAACGUGCCUUUAGGUUCGGAAUAGCUCCUGGAAACGGGUGGUAAUGCCGAAUGUGCCCUUCGGGGGGAAAGAUUUAUCGCCUUUAGAGCGGCCCGCGUCUGAUUAGCUUGUUGGUGAGGUAAUGGCUCACCAAGGCUACGAUCAGUAGCUGGUCUGAGAGGAUGACCAGCCACAUUGGGACUGAGACACGGCCCAAACUCCUACGGGAGGCAGCAGUGGGGAAUCUUGCGCAAUGGGCGAAAGCCUGACGCAGCCAUGCCGCGUGUAUGAUGAAGGUCUUAGGAUUAGUAAAAUACUUUCACCGGUGAAGAUAAUGACUGUAGCCGGAGAAGAACGCCCGGACUAACUUCGUGACCAGCAGCCGC